rnacentral:tRNA from 1 species
GGGCCCGUCGUCUAGCUGGACUAGGACACAGGCCUUCGGAGCCUGGGAUCCGGGGUUCGAAUCCCCGCGGGCCCGCCA